rnacentral:rRNA from 1 species
CCUACGGGAGGCUGCAGUGAGGAAUAUUGGUCAAUGGGCGCGAGCCUGAACCAGCCAAGUCGCGUGAGGGAAGAAGGUCCUAUGGAUUGUACACCUCUUUUGUCGGGGAGCAAAAGACGCCCCGCGUGGCGUUCCGAGAGUACCCGAAGAAAAAGCAUCGGCAAACUCCGUGCCAGCAGCCGCGGUAAUACGGAGGAUGCGCGGGUUAUCCGGAUUUAUUGGGUUUAAAGGGUGCGCAGGCGGAAUGUCAAGUCAGCGGUAAAAUUGAGAGGCUCAACCUCUUCGAGCCGUUGAAACUGGUUUUCUUGAGUGGGCGAGAGGUAUGCGGAAUGCGUGGUGUAGCGGUGAAAUGCAUAGAUAUCACGCAGAACUCCGAUUGCGAAGGCAGCAUACCGGCGCUCAACUGACGCUCAUGCACGAAAGUGUGGGUAUCGAACAGGAUUAGAUACCCUGGUAGUC